rnacentral:rRNA from 1 species
AAUAGAUACCCCGGUAGUCCACGCAGUAAACGAUGAUUACUAGUUGUUUGCGAUACAAUGUAAGCGACUGAGCGAAAGCGUUAAGUAAUCCACCUGGGGAGUACGUUCGCAAGAAUGAAACUCAAAGGAAUUGACGGGGGCCCGCACAAGCGGAGGAACAUGUGGUUUAAUUCGAUGAUACGCGAGGAACCUUACCCGGGCUUGAAAUGCGGCGGACCGGCAGAGAGAUCUGCCUUCCCUUCGGGGCCGCCGUGUAGGUGCUGCAUGGUUGUCGUCAGCUCGUGCCGUGAGGUGUCGGCUUAAGUGCCAUAACGAGCGCAACCCUCAUCAUUAGUUACUAUCAGGUCAUGCUGAGGACUCUAGUGAGACUGCCAUCGUAAGAUGCGAGGAAGGUGGGGAUGACGUCAAAUCAGCACGGCCCUUACGUCCGGGGCGACACACGUGUUACAAUGGGUGGUACAAAGGGCAGCUACCUGGCGACAGGAUGCUAAUCUCCAAAACCACUCUCAGUUCGGAUCGG